GAUGAACGCUGGCGGCGUGCCUAAUACAUGCAAGUCGAGCGAACGGACGAGAAGCUUGCUUCUCUGAUGUUAGCGGCGGACGGGUGAGUAACACGUGGAUAACCUACCUAUAAGACUGGGAUAACUUCGGGAAACCGGAGCUAAUACCGGAUAAUAUUUUGAACCGCAUGGUUCAAAAGUGAAAGACGGUCUUGCUGUCACUUAUAGAUGGAUCCGCGCUGCAUUAGCUAGUUGGUAAGGUAACGGCUUACCAAGGCAACGAUGCAUAGCCGACCCGAGAGGGUGAUCGGCCACACUGGAACUGAGACACGGUCCAGACUCCUACGGGAGGCAGCAGUAGGGAAUCUUCCGCAAUGGGCGAAAGCCUGACGGAGCAACGCCGCGUGAGUGAUGAAGGUCUUCGGAUCGUAAAACUCUGUUAUUAGGGAAGAACAUAUGUGUAAGUAACUGUGCACAUCUUGACGGUACCUAAUCAGAAAGCCACGGCUAACUACGUGCCAGCAGCCGCGGUAAUACGUAGGUGGCAAGCGUUAUCCGGAAUUAUUGGGCGUAAAGCGCGCGUAGGCGGUUUUUUAAGUCUGAUGUGAAAGCCCACGGCUCAACCGUGGAGGGUCAUUGGAAACUGGAAAACUUGAGUGCAGAAGGGGAAAGUGGAAUUCCAUGUGUAGCGGUGAAAUGCGCAGAGAUAUGGAGGAACACCAGUGGCGAAGGCGAAUUUCUGGUCUGUAACUGACGCUGAUGUGCGAAAGCGUGGGGAUCAAACAGG
rnacentral:rRNA from 1 species